CAUUAGUUGAAGAAAAUAAGAAACAUUAUACCUAGCUAUUAGAGUUUAAGAUGGCUUCAAAAACUUGUUCCUCCCUUGCCCUUUUCCUCACACUCAACCUCGUUUUCUUCUCACUUGUCUCUGCAUGCGGUUAUACACCAUGCCCUGGUCCAAACCCAAAGCCAAGGCCCAACCCCAACCCUAACCCUAACCCCAGCCCAAGUGGCUCGUGCCCCCGUGACGCACUCAAACUAGGUGUAUGUGCCAAUGUGCUAAACUUGGUGAACGCCACUUUGGGUCAACCACCAGUUACCCCUUGCUGCACCCUUCUCGAUGGUCUCGUUGACCUUGAAGCUGCAGUGUGCCUUUGCACUGCCCUCAAAGCAAACAUUUUGGGCAUCAACCUCAACCUUCCAAUCUCCCUUAGCUUGCUUCUCAAUGUUUGCUCAAGGAAAGCUCCACGUGAUUUCCAAUGUGCCUAAUCAUGGCCCAUGAGCAAGUUGCUACGUGCUUAUUCCUAGUUGUGGUUUUCCGUUGUUUUUUUUUUUUUUUGAAAUUCCAUUUAUCAUGGUGUGAUUCUUGUUCGUGCAUCAGUGCAUGGAUGGGUAAAUUCUCGUUAUAUUCUGCCGCUUUAUUGAUUGUUUUAUCAGGCAAAGUGUCACAUUAAAUAAAUUCCCAAUGCUUAAUUUCUUAUGUAAAGCAAAAGGAAUAAAAAAAUGAUAGUGUUAUUUAUAUGGCAGAUAAAUGGUUAAUGUUGCAAAUACAUUUUAAUAUUUAUUGAUGCCAUUUUGUUUUGUCUUUUCGGUGAAUGAGAGCAUCAGCUGAUCAGCAAAAUUACAUUGCUUUCUAACUUGUGUCCAAUGCGCAACUAGAGGAAAACUAAUUCAAGAAAAGAAUAAAAAUGAAAGUAAGCAUGCACAACACUGAGCCCGUGACGAUUGUACAAAGCACUCCACGUGCAUGCACUAUUAUUUCAUUUAAAAAAAAAGCUCAGAAUAAUUAGCUAUUUAAACCAAGAUACAUAUUAAAUUCUAUGGUACCACAGUAACACUUUUAGAGGUUUUGGAAAAUUUCAUAUUUGGACCAAUAGUUAUUAAGUUACUUAGUCAUCAAUUUACUAUAUGUGGUAAUGAAAUUGUUAUAUAUAUAUAUAUAUAUAUAUAUAUAUAUAUAUAUAUAUAUAUAUAUAUAAUUUAGUCCCUAAUUAAUUCAAAUAUUUUUUCUUUUAAAAUUAUUAUUUUUAAUUAUUUUAAUUAAAUAGAUAGAUCUGAUCAUUGACUCUGUAAAUCUUGAAGUUUUGGCAUUCAUGUGUCCUUCGACCUUAAAGAAGUGGAAAAAUAUCCAUGUUAAAUCUACUAUGGGGAAGGUUAAUUAAAAUUCAAUCCACAAUUGGUGACUCUAUCACUUACAAUGCUCUACCUUAUUCCAUGUUCCAAAAGAGCAUGUAAAAAAUCAUAUUUCCUCCAAUCUUAGUUAUAAGCAAAAAAGACAUUUUAUAUUUAUUAAAAAAAUUAACAAACUUUAUUAAAUUGUAUCAUUAAUUCCUAAUUAAAAAAUAAAUAUUUUUUCUAAACUAUUGGACUUUAUAUCAAAUAUAUAAAAAAAAUAAUCUUAUUAAAUGAAUAUAUUUUAGAGAGAAUCUUAUUAAAUAAGACAUAAAUAAUUCAAAUUUAAUAUUCUAAAUCCAAUGAAAUACUAAUUACUGUUCUUUACAAGCCUUCUGAAGUCCUUAGCUUGGUUCCUAAUCUAGAUCAGUCCCCCAGUUCAAGUGUAUGGAGAGGCCUAUGUCUUCCUCCUAACCCUCCUAUAUACUUUAGCCUUUAGAAGGGAUGUUCUGAUUAAUCGGGAUAUUCAUCGGUUGGUGUGAGUUGCGAUUGCAUCAAAAUCCCGUAGAUUGUGGGCUCUUACACAUCGAUGUAGGCCAAGUGUAGGUCUUUCUAUUGUGAGUGAUUUACCUCGGGACGAAUGAGGUGUGGCCCAAUGCGUAGUACUUCAAGCCACGAGUGGAGUAUAUAUGCACGAAGUGGCUUUGGUACACAACCCCUUAAGCCACAAGUGGAGUAUGCACAAAGUGGGUUUGUAGAGUUCGGGUUGACCGAGGUGUGGCACAAUACACAAUCCCUCAAGUCACAAGCUAGAGUGAAGUAUGCACUAAGUGAGUUUGCAGAGUACUAUCAAGAUUGAAAACUUGAAGGUACUUGAAACACACAUUGAAUUCUUAACAAAGUCAACGAUUAUAAAUCUUGCAAGAACACUCAUUGAAUUCUUUUGUAAAGAUAUAAAUGAAUGAAACACAAGUAAAAGUGUCAAAAAUAUCCCUGCUUAAUAUAAUAUAGAAACAAAAAAAAAAGACUAAUAAUACAUGAACCACGCCUAUUAUUACUACAAGAUUUUUUUUAAUGUUACACCCUAUAUUAACACCCAUCUUUUUCUCUAUCCCUCUCUUCUUCUCAUAUCAAAAUAUCUAUGAUACCUAUUAUCCCCCCCUCUCUUCUUCUCAUAUCAAAAUAUCUAUGAUACCUAUUUUACCAGAAAAAUACUUAUAUUUUUUUUAUAUUCAUGAAAUAAUCAAGNNNNNNNNNNNNNNNNNNNNNNNNNNNNNNNNNNNNNNNNNNNNNNNNNNNNNNNNNNNNNNNNNNNNNNNNNNNNNNNNNNNNNNNNNNNNNNNNNNNNAUAUAUAUAUAUAUAUAUAUAUAUAUAUAUAUAUAUAUAUAUAUAUAUAUAUAUAUAUAUAUAUAUAUAUAUAUAUAUAUAUAUAUAUAUAUAUAUAUAUAUAUAUAUAUAUAUAUAUAUAUAUAUAUAUAUAUAUAUAUAUAUAUUUACAUAAUACACGAACUACUUGCUAAUGAUUAUAUAGACUCCAAUCCCAAUCCCUCAGGUGGCUUCUGCCCUGGCGAUGCACUCAAACUAGGCAUAGGUGCCAAUGUGCUAAAUGGGCUGCUCAACGUGACUUUGUGUCAACCACCGGUUAUAUCUUCUUCUUCCCUCCUCAACGGUCUCAUUGACCUUGAGGCUGCACUGUCCUUAGAGCAAAUAUUUUGGGCAUCAACCUCAACCUUUCCAUCUCACGCAGCUCACUUCUCAAUGCUUGCUCAAGGCAAGUCCCAUGUGAUUUCCAUUGUGCCUAAUUACCCAACAUAUCAUAUAUAUCAUCGUACCUACUUUUGCUUUGUGUUUUCCAGUUGUGACUUUCCUUUCUUUUUUUUUUUUCAAAUUCCAUGUGUGGUUCUUGUACGUGCAUGGAGGGUUAGCUUCUCGUUAUUCCUUCCUUUCAGUGUUUUUGUAGUUAUCUGGUAAGAGUGACGCGAUAUAUAUUAUAUAUAGAAGCUCUCGAUGGUUGCUUGUGUAAAUCGCAAUGUACAAAAGUUGAUGAACUAGUCUGUUAUUUAUAAAAAGAAAACCAAACACAAGCGCUUGCAAAUGACCUCGUUAUUAAUGCUUCUAUUAUAUAUAUAUAUAUAUAAAGAGAUCAAAUAUCAAUAUAGUUUUGACCAACUAUUAUCUCAUUUAAUAACUUUCAAUUAAUUAAUAUUUUUGUUAAAACUCGUUAUUUGAUUAAAAAUUCAUUUCACAUGAAUUAAAUAUAUAAAAUUUUAUAUUAAUAUAAAAUUAUUUGUUAUCUUAUUAUUCAUAUAAACUAAAAUUGAUGUAAUAAAAAAAAUUAAAAUAUAUUAAAUUAUAAAUCAUUUGAUUAUUUUUUUAUUAUUGUUUAAUUUUAAUAAAAUUUAACACAUAUAAUAUAUAUUGAUAAUAUGUAAAUAUAAUUUAAUGAUCAAAUAAGUAAAAUUCACAAUUUUUUAUCAAAUUAUAGAAUAAUAAAAUAUUAAAUUAUAUUAAUAUAAUUUCAUCUAAUACAUAUUAAUUGUAUUUCAUGUGUAAAGAAUUUAGUAUUUUUUUAAUUGCAAUUAGUCUUGUAUAGUUUAAUGAUAUUUUUACCAGUGACUUGGUUUUCAUAUUGUUUUCCGUUAAGGCAUUAAUGGUCAUUUUCAUAAACAUUGGAUUUGGUAAAAGUCGAAAGGAUAAGACGAUUUUGCCAUAUGCUUAACUUGGCACUCUAUGGCUUGGCCUUUAUGGCUAAUAAGUAACACAUUUGUUUUUAAAAAUGUAUCAUUUGGCUUGAUCUCUUUGUUGGAUUUGAUUGAAUACUAAUCUUGGUCGUGGCAUAUAAGAAUAUGAUUUGUCCACCACUCGUAUAAUGACAUACAAACUAGCCUAGUUUUAAGCCACAACUUCUAACUUUGCAUCAUAUUCGGUUUCUAUGUAACCAAAUACACCAUAUGAUGCAAAGCCACAAAAUCUUCCAGCACUCUAUGCAUUUCUUUCCAUUUGCCAAUCCUAAAUUCGAUAUAAAAAAAUGUUGUAUUCCAUUAUUUGGUAGAACCGUAUUCACAUCUAACUACUGGUACCAAGUAGUCUCUUUUGAAAUGGGGAGAUUAUUAAAGUUAAACUCUUUUAGAAUGGAAAUAAAAGUCUAAUUAUGUUUAAAAAGUUUUAGAGUUUAAUAUUUUUUCAUAUAUAUUUUCUUAAUGAAAAUUAUUACACUGUUAAUUUGUUAUAAUUUUUAAAAUAAUUAUUACAUUAGAUAUAAUUUUUAAAAUAAUUAUUGUAAAUUAAAGCUAACAAUUUUACUGUACACAAAAAUUUAUAAUUGUGUGAUAAAACAAAUAUAAGUAUAUUUUUAAAGCAAAAUAUAAGUAUAUUCUAAUUAAAUACUAUUAACAUUUGCUAAGGCUAAUAAUUUGAAAACUUUGCAUAAUAUUUUGUUUUUGUUUUUGACAAUCGUGUAAUAUAAAAUUGGUUAAUGUGACUUCACGCCCCACCCCCAAAUUAUGAAGAUUUCACGAGCCAAAAACGCGUGGAAAACUUAGAUUUGAUUUUGAUAUUAAUUGGACAUCACAGAUUAAGUCAAUAAUUGCGGACUUGUUCACAAAGGAAUGUCUAAACGAAACUCUUUUUAAAAUGAAAAAAAACGUAGUACAACGUUCUUCAUUGGCUUAUGGGCCUUUGCUUGUUAGGCUUCUAGCUAUUAUAAGCUCCUAGUUGCAUGCUUCCUGUCGAAAAUUGAUCAUAUUUACAUAAUUGUUUUUUUUUUAACUUAAUACUUUCGUCGUGCAGUGACGACUGAUCCACGUAUCAACGAGAGGAUGCACUUCCAACCCUUCGCUUUUUUGGAAAACACACACACACAUAUAUUUUUUAAAAUAUGUAUAUUUUAUCUUCUUAAUUUUAUAUAUUUGAAUCAUCUAUCCUUAAUUUUAUUAGUAUUUUCAUAAAAUAUUUUAAACAUAAAUUUAAAUAAUAUAAGUACAUACACACUAAUUUACCCUUUGUUCCUUUUUCAAUCCUUAAAAUUUUAAGGCGCAAAUGAAUAAAACAACAAAAAGAUAAGAUAUGUAUUGAAAUUAUACAUAUGGUUCCACCUUAUUUCUGGUUACGGUACCCAGUUUAAUUACAUAAUAUAUUGCUUAUCAUGAAAGAAACGGGAAAAAGGAAACAACUAACAAAAACCAAAUUAUAUAUAUAUAUAUAUAUAUAUAUAUAUAUAUAUAUAUAUAUAUAUAUAUAUAUAUAUAUAUAUAUAUAUAUAUAUAUAUAUGAAAUAUAUAUAUAUAUACACAUAUAUGAAACCAUCAAAUCACAUAGAUUAUAGUUGAAAAUAUCAUUUUUAAUCAAUAGGAAAGGUAAAAGUCUCACUAUUUACGGGAAAUAAAAGAAUUAACUACGACGAAAUUGAUAUUUUUUUUCAAAUUACCUUUCUAAGCCUUUUCAAUCGGUAAAAUAUUUUCUUUAAUUUAUUACACGUAUUUUUUUUUUUACUUUGAGAAAAAAUAAUUUUUUUGGUUUUAUAUUAUUUUGAAAUACUUUUCAUUAAAUAAACAUAUAUAUAACCAAAAAAUAUUAAAAAAUAAUAACUAUUGAGGUAAAUUUAUUAUAAAUUUAACUAACCUAAAUAACUAAUAAUCAUUAUUCACUUCUUAUUUUUGAACAAAAUAUCUACUAUUUACUAUUUAUAGUUUAAUUAUAAGAAUAUAACUUAUAAACACUGUACCUUAAAGUAUUUUUUAUAUUAAUUUUUAAUCAAGGUUUUAUUUUGAUAACCAACUCCAACUUAAUUAAUUAUAACUUAUAUUACGUGGAUUAUGGAAAUAAAAUUUAACUAUUAAUCAUUGCCUUCAUUUUAAAAUAAGUGUCACAUUUAAUUAUUUAAUGUAACAUUAAUUGUUUUUUUUUAUUAUUUCUAAUAAAUAUCACUUUAAUUUUUUAGUCUAAUAUUAAUAUUAUUUUUUAUCUAUUUAAUAAUAUUAUACUCUAUUUUAUUUAUUAAUUAACUUUUUUAUAUGUAUAAAAUAUUAUACAACCACACUUAUUUUCGGACUAGGGAGUAAAAAAAACAUUUAAGAAACAAGAUAGUAAGUUUUCUUCAAAUUCAUAAUUAAUAGCUAUCAGCCAAUUAGCUAGUGGUAGUGUGAGGAUAAGAUUGAAAAUGUAAUAAUAGCUAUUAGCCUAUUAGCUAGCGGUAAUGUGGGGAUCUGAUAGGCUGUCGGGAUACACACUUUUUUUUUAGAAGUUAUUCAAAUUUAAAAGAAGAUAGUUUUUUUUUAAAGACGUAUACGAGAAUAAAUUCUAAUUUUUACUAAUAAUUAUAAUUUAUUAGUUAAAUUCAAUGUUUAUAUAUACAAUUUUAAAAUAAUUUUUUUACUAUUAACGAGCUAAAACUAUUUUUCAUAUGACUUUUAAAAUAGUUAUUACAACAAUUUUAUCACAAAUAACAUUAUACAUCAAUAACUAAUAAGUGGUAAUGUUACAAAUUCCUGAAUAAGAUGACCCGGCCGGCCCGGAAAAAAACAAAAUUAGUCGAGAUUUUUAACAAGAUAUUUUUAUCAUCGAAAGUUAUAUACUAUCUUUUAAAGAAGUAGAAUAUGAAUUAAAGAAAAGCUUUUUUUGACACAUGUAUUAUUCUAUUCGCAUAGCUAAGGAUUGAAACACUAAUAUAUGUUUAAAGAGCUCAAAUUAUUUGCUACUUGUGUAAUAUCUUGUAGGGGUUGGAAAUUUUUUUAUUUGAAUCAUAUGUAUAAAAAAGUGCAUUUCAAUUUGAUGUCAACCAACACGUACUUUGUUCGAAACAGGCUGCAGGAAGAAUAGUCAUCAUCCUCAAAUUUUAGCUAUUUUAUUUAUUAAAAGUUUAAAUACAACCAAAUUAAUCACAUCUCGGAAGGAACUGUAAGGGAGAGUGUGUACUGUGCAGUCAAUUUCCAACCACAAUAAGCAAUACUUAUAAUAGGACCCAGUGACCCAUUAUUUCACAUGCAGAACCUUAUGUACUCUCAGAUCCACCGAUUGAUGGCGGUUCCUGCAUGCAUCACAAGUCACAAGCAUAUAAUACCUAAUUUAAGGUUUUUCCCCGCCAGCUAAAAUUCUCAUGUUCACUCAUGGUCAUUUCAUUAACAUACUAUUUAUUUAUUUUUUUGUAAAAAAAUUCAAGUGUUGAAUAUUAAUUUUGAGGUACUGAAUAUAUAAGUUUUAAUUAAAAAAAAUUAUGUUUUGGUUUGGGUAAUUGGCUCGAUUCAGUUUCGGUUGAUCUAGCAUGAUAUUAUUCCAUUUGGAUAUCUCGGAUAGUAACCCAAAUUUUAUGUUUGGUGAGACUUAUAAGCUAUUGUCUUUUUUUUUUCUUCUCAAUUUUAUGCUUAUUUUUUAUUUAAAAUUUAGUUUUAUCUUUUUAUUCAAUUUAAAAACUUUCUUAUUUUCUUUAUUGUCCGGACAAAUUCUCGUAUUUAAUUUAAUGUUCUUACAUGCUUACAACAAACAUAAUAAUCAAUCCCUCAAUUGUCAUUGUUACAUCAUUCUUUAAUAUUAGAUUUUUUUAAAAUUAUUUCAAUUUUAUAAUUAUUUACUAUUUUUUUUAUUUUAUAAUUACCUAUUUUGAUCCUUUGCAUUAUUUUUUAUUUUAUUGAUUUAAUUUGUUAAGGCAAAAAUAUAUCCUACUUUUCAAGAUGAUUAAUUAUUAAAAAUAAAAUUCAAAUAUUAAAAAUAUUAAUAUAUUAUUUGAUAUUUAUUAGAUAAUUUUAUUAAAUACUUUCUUAAUUAGCUAGCUUAUAAACUUAUAACUUUAUAGCUUAUAAACUUCCAACCAAUUUAUAAGUCAAUUUUUACGAGACAUAGCUAAAUUGAUCCAAACUGAAAAAAAAAAAAAACACACUAGUUUGGGUUGCUAGUAAAAUAAAAUAAAAUAAGACAACUGAAGCUAUCUAACUCAGUACUUAAUAAUUGAAUUGUCGAUUAAUUUAAGUUUGUAUAUUUUACCUAUAUACGUACAUAAUACACCAACUACUUGCUAAUAUUUUAAUAGAGUCGUCAUCAUAUUCUCAUUGACACUUCCAAACACCAUGAGCACUAUAUAAACCCCCCAUCCACACCAAAUUACUCCCAUCUUCACUUACACUCUUCUUUUAAGCUCUAGCAGUUAACUAACAAUAUUAGCAUUUGCUAGUGAUUAGGAAUAUAAAGAUACGCCAACCACAAACAGUUUAAGAUGGCCUCCAAAACAUGUUCAUCCCUUGCUCUUUUCCUCACACUCAACCUCCUCUUCUUUUCACUUGUCUCUGCAUGCGGUAGUUAUUCAUGCCCUAGUCCAAAGCCAAAGCCAAAGCCCAAGCCAAAGCCCAACCCUAACCCUAGUCCUUCUGGUGCAUCGUGCCCCCGUGACGCACUCAAGCUAGGUGUAUGUGCCAACGUGCUAAAAGGGUUGUUGAACGUGACUUUGGGUCAACCACCAGUUACCCCUUGCUGCACCCUUCUCGAUGGGCUCGUUGACCUUGAGGCUGCAGUGUGCCUUUGCACUGCCCUCAAAGCAAAUGUUUUGGGCAUCAACCUCAACCUUCCUAUCUCACUCAGCUUGCUUCUCAAUGUUUGCUCAAGGCAAGUCCCACGCGAUUUUCAAUGUGCCUAAUCAUGGCCUAUACACAACAUAUCAUAUAUAUCUAACGUGUUUGGAAACUCGUUGAGGAUGGAGAAAUCACGUCUGAGAUAUGAAAAGCUAUAACUAUUUGCUUUUCCACAUCUAAAAUGUGAAAAAUUACGUCUGAAACGUGAAAUCAAACACGUUAAUUAAUCAUCCUAUCUACGUACUUUUGCUUCGUGUUUGGUAUAGUUGUGACUUUCCUUUAUAUUGAUCAGUGUGUGAAUCUUGUACGUGCAUGGAGGGUUAACUUCUCCUUAUUCCUUCCUUUUAGUGUUUUCUAAAUAUUGUAUGGUUAGAGUGUUGCAAUAAAUUAAUAAAUAAGUUCCUGAUGCAUGCUUAUGUAAAUCGCAAGGGAACCAAAGAUAAUGAACUGGUGUGUUAUUUAUAUUUGAUUGAGAAAUGGUCAUUAUAUCACAAAUAAUCGUUUGGAAAAAUAAAUAUGUUGGGUACGUUUAUGAGUGGGGGGUCACUGAUGUAAUAGGAGCAGAUUAUGUAUGCAGGGACUGAACAAAUUAUCUUGCUUGAUAUAUGCUGUGGGGUUUUAUGUGCUGCGUCAAUAGUUUAGGAGCAGGAGCAGAUUAUGAUUGCUGCAUACAUAAUAUGCAGGAGCAGAUUAUAUGUAUGUUGUGGGAUUUUGCAGUGUAGUGGUUUAUAUAUGAUGUAAAAGGGUUUGGUUCCCUUAUAUUAUACCCUCUAUUAUAUAAAUCUUAUUUGGCUUAUAUAAAAAGAAUAAUCCUUCUUAAUUUAUUUCGUUCUGCCUUUUCCUUUUGUCUUUUUUGGUGAACGAAAUCACCAACUAAUCAAUUAAGUAAAUUAUUCGGCAUACUACUAAUUAAAGUGUAUCAAUUGAACUUUCAUAUCUUGCUCGGUAACAAACAAAAUUGGGAAGUUAUGAGUUGGUUUUUCAGGGCUAUUGCUUAAUAAUAUCUCUGCUAAUUAUAUCCAAUUUAGUUCUUUACUAAGGAGGAAAUAGCUGCAUACGAUUCGCUACCUUUUUUUACCAUGCAGGGUAUGAUCUAUUUAAAUCAUGCAUAAUGAAAUUGUAUUUCAAGGUGUAUCUUUCGACUUAUCUAGUAGUGUUUUAGAUUUUUAUAAAGAUUAGAUCGAGGACAUUCAGCAAUAAAUUAAGUAUAAUAUUCUUUUAUCUAAUUUGUUUACAUCUUGUAGCCUGUUAGAGCACUCUGUCUCUUAAUAAAUUGUUUUUCCUGUAAAAGAAUAAAGUAUUUAAUUGUUGAAAAUGUAUAUUACGGGAAGACAUAUUACUAAUCAAGUAUUUGUUGAAAAAGUUGGGAACACAAGAGUCCAUCAUAUUAUUAUUAAAUUGUUGAACCAUUUCCCCUAAAUCUAAGAGAUCAAUAUUGGAAGAAAAAAUCAUAGACAUUCAAAUUACUUUUCCUGGAUAUAGUGACAAUAUAAUAAAUUAUACAAACAAAUGAUAUACUUUUGAAUCACCAUAAUGUUCGUGCAAAUUAUUCAUUUAUUUUAUUAAUUACACAUAAUAAUCUUUAUUUUCAAUUACAAAAUUUCAACUUAAAACUUUAAGAAAUUUAAAUCCAAUUUCACUCAAACCAAAAUCACAUAUGUUAGCCAAACAUAUGAUUAGUUAUUGUAUACUUUAUUUUAUAUAUUAAAAAAAUCCAUGUACAUUUAUAAUAUUUAUAUGGCUAAAAUAUUGUUCUAAUCGCUUAUUUAUUUAUUUAUUUAAUUGGUGUAAUUUGAUUUCUUUAUUGAUAAAGACUUCAAUUUAGUUAAUUUUCAAAAUCAUGUCUAUGUUGUAAUUUUCAUCUAGUUGAUAAAAAUGUAGAACCAACAAAAUGGGUAAGAACUCACUAGUUUGAGCCGGGUUGGGUUGAUUUUUUAUGCCCAUUUCAAUUAUUAUGCAUAAAUAUGGCCCACCCAACCCGUAUUCAGGUUGACUAAUAAAAAAAACAUGUAUGUUGAUGCUAUUAAAAAAAUAACCCACUCCUUACUUGUCACGCAAAUGAAAUAGCACAACAAUUAUAAUUAGGUUUGUCCUUUUUUUUUCUCACUCUUUUUUCUUGAUUUAGUUAUUCUUCUUGCUUUCCUUUUUACAACAAUCAACAUAGAAUAAAAAUUAUAGGAAGUUUUUUUUAAAAAAAAUCAUUUCGUCCUUUUAAUUUUAGGUGGAUCAAACUAUUUAAUCUAUCAACUGGUGGUUACCUAAACUAAUUUAACUAACUUUUUAAAGACUCAGCAAAAAGUGAGUCAAGAUAGGCUAGUCCACUUUUUGAGCAACACGAGAUGAACUGACUUUGUCCACUUUGACAAUUGUAUUGGUGUUAACAAAAACAGACAUGUGCCACUUUCACAGGUUCAAGCCACUGACGUUAUUAUAGUCAUAUAUGCAAUUUUGAAAACUAAGGGUAAUUAUUUUUUUUAUAAUAAAAUGGCCAAAUUGGAUAAAUAAAAUAAAAAUAGAGACAAAAGAGUAUUUCAGUCUAUUUAUAUUAAAUAGUUAAUUUUCGUAAGAAAAAAAAUACAUACAGAGAGUAACAGACUAAUUCAAAACUUAUUUAUUAGAGUUUUAUUUUUGUUUAAUGAAGUGAUUUAAUAAUCAUUAUUUGAUUCUGAUUUUUUAAUAAAAUAUAUUAAUUAUUUAUUUAUUUAUACCUUAUGUUAAAAAAAUUAAGUAUUUAUACUUUAAUUCAAAGAAUAAAACUUAUAAUACAUCAUCUAUUUUUUUGGUAUUGUUUUUUAUAUAAGGUUAUAUUUUAAUGACCAACUCCUUGUUUUUAUUUUAACUUAUAAAGUAUUACUAGAUUAUCAAAAUAAUUUUCUAAUUUUAAUUUUAAAAACGUUUAAGAAGCAAAUUAGUUUUCUUCAAAUUAAUAAAUUAAUCGUUGCUAUCAGCCAAAUAGCUAGUGGUAACGUAAGGAUCUGAUUAAAAAUCUAAUAAACUUAUAAUAGCUGUUAGCCUAUUAGCCAAAUAGCUAGUGGUAAUGUAAGGAUUGGGUAAGCUGUCGGGAUAUACAUCAUCAUCUCUGUUUUGUUUUGUUUUUUUUUUUUUUUUUUUUUCCAAAAUUAUAUUUUAAUCUCCUUAGUUGUCUCUAAUUUUGAUUUUAGUAUCUUUUAAAAUUAUUGAUGCAUAUAGUAAUGCAUUUAGUCCUUCAAGUUCAACCCCGUAAACAUGAUCCUAAUUUAGACGUUGACUGUUAUAAAAAAAUGUUGACAGUCACGUGUUACAUUCUGAUUGGACGAUAAUUGACACGUGUCACAUUUUGAUUGAAUAUUGACAACAACAAUACAUUUUUCAUCAUUCAUAAAGUCAACAUUUAAUUAGAACGUGACACAUGAUAAUUUACGGGAUUGAAUAUAAUUAAAGGACUAAAUGCAUCAAUAAUUUUAGGAUCGGAGGAUAGAAGUUCCAAAUUUAAACCAAAAUGGAUUUUCAAUCAUGUAGAGGUAUACGAGAAUAAAUGAUAGUAAAGGUAUAUAAAUUGAAAAUUAAUAAUUAAUUAUACUGAUUAUAUAUACAUAUAUAAUAAAUCAUAAAAUUUAUCAAUUUAAUUAAUUUUUAUCAAUAAUUAUACUUUUAUUUAAAUUUAUUUUUUUAUAUAAUGUCAAUGCAAUUUAUUUACUAUUAACUAUUUAAAAAAUAUUCUACAUAAUUAUUAUAAAAAUUAACGACCUCAUCAUUCAAAACUUAAUGCAUUACAAUUAAAUUCUUCCUACUUUGUUGUUUAAAAUUUUAAAUCCAACAUAAUUACUUUUUUUCCUGAUAAUCCAACCAAAUUACUAUUCACUCCAAUCUUAAAUAUAAAUAAAAAUACCUCAUAUAAUUAUUUCAAAUAUAAAUAAAUUUUAACUAAUUUUAAAAAAACAUUCUCCAAAACAUUUUUAUUUUAUUUCAAUAACCUCUUUAAUUCUCGUUAUAUCAAUUGCAUGACUUUUAAAAAUAAAAAAUAUUUUCAAUUAAAAAAAAUUCUAUUAAAAUAAUGUUUUUUAACAAUUAGCGUGAAGAGUAGUUUGAAUAAUGAUUUUUUUUAACAAGAUACAGAAAAUUAAAUUAAAUUUACUAAAUUAUUAUAAAACAAUCACCGUGGUAUUCAUGCAAGUGAAACUUAUCUCAAAUUUCUUUAGUAAAAUUUGAAAUUUAAAUUAAACUUUGUAGAUGAAAGAAAAAAAAAUAAGAUGAGAGAUUCUAUAUAGGAAAAGUGAGUCACUCAUAUUUCUUAACAAAAGAUUAAUAAUUAUUAGCAAAAUAAAUAUAUAUUUCUCACUAAAAUUAUCUUGUAGUAAAAAUUACCAUGAAUUUUUUUAACACAAAAUUUAAAAAAAUAUCUAAAAAAGAUUUAUACGUUUGUAUAAGUGACUUAUCUCUUUUAAUUAUAAGUGAUAUAGAAUUUAAACUAUGAUUGUUAAUUUAAUAUAAAAUAAAUCAUAUUAAAACAGAAGUAUUAAUCUCAAACAGCUUUCAAUAGAAAUUAUUUACUACUCACACUAUAAUAAAAAAAUAAAAAAAUCUGGCAAGGGUUUGUACUUUGUAGAGAAGUUGUGGUGAAUUUACAGCCACAAUUAGUGAUACUUAUAUGGGACCCGCUAUUCCACAUGCAAAAGUUAGUAAUUGCAUAAUUCUGGGGACUCCAAGGAUCUUAGAUCUUACGGUCAUGGAAUCAAGUUGCCCAACGGGUGCAUAACUUUGCUCCCCAGAUCCACCGAUUGAUGCCAGUCCCUACAUCAACAAGUCACGAGCAUUAAAAACCUAAUUUAAGGACUUAAUUUUCCUGCCAGCUACAAAUUCUCAGGUUCACGUUCCAUUAAUUUAAUAUUUUUUUAUUUAUUAUGAAAUAUAUUCAAGUGUUUAAUUUUUUAUUGUCAAAAAUCAAAUACUGUAUUUUAAGUUGUUACGGAGUUAUUCUUAAUCAAAAUUAGCAUUUAUCUAUAUAAUUAUUCUUAAUUUUAGUUAUAAAAAAUACUGAUUAUUAAAAUAAAAUUUUCAUUUUGAUUGAAAAAUUACUCCAACCAUUUUUAUAAUAUAUACAAUAUCUAGGUUUAAUUUAUUUUUAAGAGAAAAAUACUCUCAUACAUAUAUACAUUCAUAUGUUCCUUUUAUAGGCAAUAAUAAUAGUACUUAUUUAUAUUUUUCAUUAUUAAUAAAACUAAUCUAUCAUUGAUUAAAUCAAUUUUUUAAAUGUCUUUUAAUUUAAGUUUUACAUUUUACCUAUAUCGUACAUAUAUAAUACACAAACUACUUGCUAAUUUUUUAAUUGACUCCUCAUCAUAACCCCCUUCCACCUUCAAAACAUCAUGAGCACUAUAUAAACCACAAUCCACAUCCUCACAAACACUCUUCUCAUAAGCUCUAGCACUUAACUAGUAAUAUUUAUUAGAAUUUGCUAGAGAAUUAGAAGAAUAAACAUAAUACCCCAGAUGGCUUCAAAAACUUGUUCCUCCCUUGCCCUUUUCCUCACACUCAACCUCGUUUUCUUCUCACUUGUCUCUGCAUGCGGUUAUACACCAUGCCCUGGUCCAAACCCAAAGCCAAGGCCCAACCCCAACCCUAACCCUAACCCCAGCCCAAGUGGCUCGUGCCCCCGUGACGCACUCAAACUAGGUGUAUGCGCCAAUGUGCUAAACUUGGUGAACGCCACUUUGGGUCAAC
rnacentral:lncRNA from 1 species